AAGUCAGGGUAUAUGUGGAGUAGGAGGACAGGGUAUAUGUGGAGUAGGAGGACAGGGUAUAUGUGGAGUAGGAGGACAGGGUAUAUGUGGAGGAGGAGGACAGGUUAUAUGUAGAGGGGGAGGACAGGGUAUAUGUGGAGGGGGAGGACAGGGUAUAUGUGGAGGGGGAGGAGGGGUAUAUGUGGAGGAGGAGGACAGGUUAUAUGUGGGGGGGAGGGCAGGGUAUAUGUGGGGGGAGGACAGGGUAUAUGUGGAGGAGGAGGACAGGUUAUAUGUGGAGGGGGAGGACAGGGUAUAUGUGGAGGAGGAGGACAGGGGUAUAUGUCGAGGAGGAGGACAGGUUAUAUGUGGAGGGG
ensembl:lncRNA